CAGCAGCCGCGGUAAGACAGAGGAUGCAAGCGUUAUCCGGAAUGAUUGGGCGUAAAGCGUCUGUAGGUGGCUUUUCAAGUCCGCCGUCAAAUCCCAGGGCUCAACCCUGGACUGGCGGUGGAAACUACCAAGCUGGAGUACGAUAGGGGCAGAGGGAAUUUCCGGUGGAGCGGUGAAAUGCGUUGAGAUCGGAAAGAACACCAACGGCGAAAGCGCUCUGCUGGGCCGACACUGACACUGAGAGACGAAAGCUAGGGGAGCAAAUGGGAUUAGAUACCCCAGUAGUCCCUGUCUCUUAUAC
rnacentral:rRNA from 1 species